rnacentral:lncRNA from 1 species
CUCUGCGUACAUUUUUGUCCAAGGUAGUACAUCCACGAAGAAUUUUAUCUAAAGCAAAACCGUUUGCCAUUCGCCACCCCGAUUAUUUAGUUUUAUUAUCUACUUAUUUAUUCGUGAAUAUCUUUAAUGGUGCUGAUAAUUACCUUUUAGAAAAAUUAAAUGCCCCGGUCUAAUUACUGUGCUAAGUGCUUCGCGAUAGUGUUUAUAGGUGUCAUUUGAUUUUUAGAGCAAUGUGAUCCUGCAUCCACCAUCUUACUUCACGUUGAAAUUCCUCCUGAAUUUCGAUUUCAAUCCUUAUCAUCUAAUGUCCGGGCAUUCUCUGCAAUGUUCUCAAGUUAAUAUUAAUCUAAUUCAAUUCCUAAACGAGGAGAUUCCAGUUAGAGGAUUCAAGCUGGCGGAACAAAACGAUGAGGCAGCUGCCACCCGCCCUCAGAUGCUAAAUAUUUGCCAUCGAGACGCUCAAACUAUAACAGACGUUUGCAGCGGUGGGGAUCUGCCUGAAGUCGAAAUCGUCAGCCUCUUGCAGGAAUCGAUUCCGCGCUACACCUUACGAGCGGACUCACUUGUUGAAUUUUCCGGUUACGAAAAUCAAGACUGGUUUAUUCAACAACUCCUGCUUUGAAACUAGAUAACGCUCAACUUUCGCCCGACCAAAUCCGGGAGACCUUACUAAACUUUUCGUGAGUAAUCUUCUCUCAAGUCUUAAUAUUUUUGCUCUGUGUUUAUUCAUUCUAUUUUGCUGCUGUCAUUUUCAUUCUAAAUCUUCGAAGUUUAUCAAAGAAGCCUAUUCAAGGAGGUAUUAUUUUCUGCACUUUUUGGCUGUAUAAGUUGGUCCUUAAUUUGCACUAUGUACUUCAAAAGAAAUAAGUUCCGAGCCACUCAUACCAAUAUUUUCCAUUUUUUUUCCCCUUGUCUCCAUCACAAGGUGAAAAAAAACAGAUUCACAUUCUCGCCGAAUCUUGGUUGAAGCAAUGAUCUCGGUUUUGGCAUAUAUUCUUAGUCUCCUGGGUUGUCAGAUAGUAUUUAUUUAGCAUUGUUUUUUUAGAAAAAGGAUGGAUGUUUCCAAUGUAAUGCCUCUAGAACCACUAAUGUGCUUCCCUUUUUCUGUUGAUGAUUUGUAUACCAUUUUUGUGCUCCCGGAUUUUUUGCAGAAUUAUUCGU